GUAGCCCUUUGUAACAAAGGGUGUGAGAAAAGAGAGGGUGGAUUCUUUACCAACUGAGCCACCAGGAAAGCCCAAGAAUAUUGGAAUGGGUGGCCUAUCCCUUCUCCAGUGGAUCUUCCCAUCCCAGGAAUCAAACCGGGGUCUCCUGCAAUUUACCAAUUCUUUAGCAACUGAGCUACUACUGCUACUGCUACUGCUAAGUCACUUCAGUCGUGUCCAACUCUGUGUGAUCCCAUAGACGGCAGCCCACCAGGCUCCCCCGUCCCUGGGAUUCUCCAGCCAGAAAUUCACACCUGGAAACAAAACUCAGCAAUACAGUCCAAGACGAAGUUGUUUCUGGCUUUGCAUCAUAAAGAUUUAUCCUUGUCUCCCUGUUACAUCUUGAGACUGAAAAUCUCUUCCUUUGGAUCUUAACUCAGGAAAUGAGGGUCAGUCUCCAUGGCUUUAAUGUUGACAGCAACUCCAUAAAUUAUUUGAAAGUGGCUUACAUUUUCUACCUGAUCAUUUAAUCUUGCUUCACAUCACAUCUCAGAGAGAUUUUUUUUCCCCUCAUCUGCAAAGUUUGCUAAGAAAUUCUCAGGUCAGUUUUGGCACAAAGGUCCACCAUCAUGGAGGCUUACCAUCAGGUAUACUUC
ensembl:lncRNA